rnacentral:rRNA from 1 species
UACGUAGGUGGCAAGCGUUAUCCGGAAUUACUGGGCGUAAAGCGCACGCAGGCGGUCUGUUAAGUUUGACGUGAAAGCUCCCGGCUUAACUGGGAGAGGUCGUUGAAGACUGGCAGACUUGAGGCGAUGAGAGGGGUGUAGAAUUCCCGGUGUAGUGGUGGAAUGCGUAGAUAUCGGGGGGAAUACCGGUGGCGAAAGCGGCACCCUAGCGUUAGCCUGACGCUCAUGUGCGAAAGCGUGGGGAGCGAACGGG